rnacentral:ncRNA from 1 species
GAAACGCGAACCAAGCGGCGGCGGGAACCGCGUGAGGCUUGGAGCUGGCCUUGGCAACGAGGCCAUGCA